CCACAGUGUACAAAGAAAGGAGACAGAACUCUAAGUAAAUAAGAAACUGAGCACCUGAUGAGCCCUUUCUCCCAGGGCCAAACAGAAGAAUUUGGCUCCCAGCUCUGCUGCUGGCUUAGGAUGACCCUGGCUCCAAUAUUUAGAAUUUCAAAGCACCAUCCCCUCUAUAAUGUAAAGACAGGGGAUCUGUCACCUCAGCUUCCCCUUCUGGGACCACCCCUGGGGGCACAAAGAGGGUGUAGUACAGAAGGAUGUCCUUACCAGACAUUGUGAGCAAACAGGUGAGGAGAAGGUGCCUGAGGCCAUCUAUUAUUUAUAUAAAGGCCAAGGCUGGACCCUAACAUAAAUUUAACUGUGAGACCAGCUGGUUGGGCCUUUGGGGUGGGGGGCCGGACCCCAGAUUGUCUCCCUUUCUGUUACAAAUUUUGUUAUGCUGUUGUUCAAUUCCAGGCGGGGGAACAUGGGAUCUUACAAGAUGUCCCAUUUUCGAAAGAGAAAAGAAUUUUGGAUUUUUGAGGGAUAGAUUUCCCCUACCCCAUUGUGGGCCUGGCAGAACUCUUAAGAAAGGCCUUCCUCUGAGAUGAGAAAACCAAGGCUCAGAGAGGCUAAGCAAUUUCUCCAAAGUCACAAAGUAAGUGACCGAGCUGUAACCGAAACCCAUUUGGAUCUGGCCACAAAGCUUACGUCUUUUCUCAAGUGUGGGCUGAAGACGCUGCUCUCAAAGCCCCUGCACAUUCCUCUACUGGACUUAGCAUCGUGGAAUUUAACUAAUGCUUGCCUAGCUGGAUCCUGGGAGCUUCUUGAGGCAUGGAGAGUGGUUUGUUUCCCUGCACACUCAGCUUGUAGCUUAGUAGACUAUUGAAACAAUGGACCCUAAGAAUCUGGAAGUCCCCCAGGAAUCACAUGCUAGAAGAGGAGGAAGCCUAAAGCCUGGACCAGUCAGGGGAGGCACCGGAAGGAGAUUUCACUACUGACAACUUGUUAGACCACCUUGCUGGAAAGACUGGAGCCCAGACAAUGAUGAGCAGGACCACACCUUGACCAGGUCUGCUUAGACUUCGGUCCCUUCUACUUAAACCUCAACCUUACUUCAGGACCCCAAAGAUAGACGGAAGGAUCCGUGGAUCCUCUUUGCCCCUCGCUCAGCGUGGUCACAUGGAAUGAAUUUCCUCUUUCUGCAUUUCACUGUCCACUCAUCUGCUUUGGUCUGUUUACUGAGGACAGGUGGCUGAGGCUGGCUUCUUGGGGAACAGACAGUGACUCUCUGUCUGGUAUCAGUAUAUCAGUAGGUAACAGCACAGUGAGUACAAUAUUUGUACCAUGGACCCAUUGUCUCAGAGAGGUCCUAAAACCAUACAACAGAGCACUUUCUGGAGAGGCCUAAGAAAGACCAACUCUGAGGUAUAAGCCUGGUGUCUGUAGCAGAGGCACAAGCCUCGGAUCUGCAGCAGAUGACCUGGGCUGGAAUCCCAAGGGCACCACACGCUGUCCGUGAGACACAGACGUGUUAUUCUAACCAGGCUCCAGACCUUCAUUCCCUGAAAUCGGAAGUGGAGACCAUGA
ensembl:lncRNA